CUUGGUCAUUUAGAGGAAGUAAAAGUCGUAACAAGGUUUCCGUAGGUGAACCUGCGGAAGGAUCAUUAUCGUACAAAAUGUGUGAGGCAUGCAAGGGCUGUCGCUGACUUUCUAAUCACAAAAAGUCGUGCACGCCGGAGCGUGUCCUCUCGCAUAAAAUCCAUCUCACCCUUUUGUGCACCACCGCGUGGGCACCCUUUGGGAUCGAACCGAUCCAGGAGGGCGCUUGCGUUUUCACACAAACCCCCUUAUAAAAGUGUAGAAUGACCCCAUUUUUGCGAUAACACGCAAUCAAUACAACUUUCAACAACGGAUCUCUUGGCUCUCGCAUCGAUGAAGAACGCAGCGAAAUGCGAUACGUAAUGUGAAUUGCAGAAUUCAGUGAAUCAUCGAAUCUUUGAACGCACCUUGCGCCCCUUGGUAUUCCGAGGGGCACACCCGUUUGAGUGUCGUGAAAAUCUCAACCUCCUCGGUUUCUUCUGGACGCCGGAGGAGGCUUGGACUUUGGAGGCCUUUGCUGGCGUCUCUCGCCAGCUCCUCUCAAAUGAAUUAGCGGGGUCCUCUUUGCCGAUCCUCGACGUGUGAUAAGAUGUUUCCAUGUCUUGGUUUCUGGCUCUGUCGCCUUUGGGACCCGCUUCUAACCGUCUCAAGUCGAGACAACGUUUGAGCGUGUCUCCCUUCUCGGGAAACACCCUCGAGCCCACGAACCCUCGACCUCAAAUCGGGUGAGACUACCCGCUGAACUUAAGCAUAUCAAUAAGCGGAGGA
rnacentral:rRNA from 1 species